UACGUAGGGGGCAAGCGUUGUCCGGAUUUAUUGGGCGUAAAGAGCGUGUAGGCGGCCAGGUAGGUCCGUUGUGAAAACUCGAGGCUCAACCUCGAGACGUCGAUGGAAACCAUCUGGCUAGAGUCCGGAAGAGGAGAGUGGAAUUCCUGGUGUAGCGGUGAAAUGCGCAGAUAUCAGGAGGAACACCGGUGGCGAAGGCGGGUCUCUGGGCCGAUACUGACGCUGAGGAGCGAAAGCAUGGGUAGCGAACAGG
rnacentral:rRNA from 1 species